rnacentral:rRNA from 1 species
UACGUAUGGAGCAAGCGUUAUCCGGAUUUACUGGGUGUAAAGGGUGCGUAGGUGGCAGGGCAAGUCAGAUGUGAAAGACCGGGGCUCAACCCCGGGGCUGCAUUUGAAACUGCCCUGCUGGAGUGCAGGAGAGGCAGGCGGAAUUCCUAGUGUAGCGGUGAAAUGCGUAGAUAUUAGGAGGAACACCGGUGGCGAAGGCGGCCUGCUGGACUGAAACUGACACUGAGGCACGAAAGCGUGGGGAGCAAACAGG